rnacentral:lncRNA from 1 species
GUUGCUCCGGCAAGACCCUCCGACGCUCAAGUCAGUUCUCUGCCUCAACAAGAAUGGAGUGCUCGAACGAAAAUUUUAGCAGAGUUUUUAGGUAAAAACGAGAGCUUAUCGAAUAACGUAUCUGGGGUUUCCCUUUUAUAGACGGAGGGGGCGACAAAUUGAUAGCGACGCCUGUAACCGUCUGAUAGUGGGCCGCCCAGAGUCAGGAAAAAUUUAUUGCGGAGGGUAGUGGAGUGGGAUUGUGGCUAUCGCCGUGGCUUGCCACGUGGAGUCAGUUACGGGAGUGGAGCGGCGU